AACGAACGCUGGCGGCAUGCCUAACACAUGCAAGUCGAACGAGACCUUCGGGUCUAGUGGCGCACGGGUGCUUAACGCGUGGGAACCUGCCCUUAGGUUCGGAAUAACUCCCCGAAAGGGGUGCUAAUACCGGAUAAUGUCUUCGGACCAAAGAUUUAUCGCCUUUGGAUGGGCCCGCGUUGGAUUAGCUAGUUGGUAGGGUAAAAGCCUACCAAGGCGACGAUCCAUAGCUGGUCUGAGAGGAUGAUCAGCCACACUGGGACUGAGACACGGCCCAGACUCCUACGGGAGGCAGCAGGGGGGAAUAUUGGACAAUGGGCGAAAGCCUGAUCCAGCAAUGCCGCGUGAGUGAUGAAGGCCUUAGGGUUGUAAAGCUCUUUUACCCGGGAUGAUAAUGACAGUACCGGGAGAAUAAGCUCCGGCUAACUCCGUG
rnacentral:rRNA from 1 species